rfam:Triticum aestivum genome assembly, contig: Triticum_aestivum_CS42_TGACv1_scaffold_405732_5BL
AUAAUACUCCCUCCGUUCGGAAUUACUUGUCACAGAAAUAGAUGUAUCUACACAUAUCUUAGUUCUAGAUACAUCCAUUUUUGCGACAAGUAAUUCCGAACGGAGGGAGUAGUUU